rnacentral:lncRNA from 1 species
ACACUGGUUAUUGUGAACUGUGUGAGAUAACACAUGAAGAGCACUUAGCAAGGUACCUGGCUCACAGAUUUGCUGAGCACCUACUAUGCAUCAGACGCUGUGUUCUAGGCAAGGGGGAUACACCUGAUGGAAGAAGGUCCUUCCCUAGACGUAGCUAACAUCCCAGUGUGGGAGAUGACACGAAACAGUGAGAUUUGACAUGCCUGUGUAACACGGACGGAGCUGUGGAGUUAGUAGCUGGGCAUGAGGCUGGAGUGCAGGGGAGACGCCUGGCCCGGAGUCACCCCAGAUGAGUAUGGUGGAAAUGAUGUCACGCCCACUCCAGGCCUAACCUCUAGGAGGACUGGCAGUUUCUGCUAUGGCCUCUGGGAGCCAUGAGCUGCCAUGAAAAAGGUCAAACUACUCUGCUGGAGACACCCACCUGGAGAAGCCCUGGGAUUCCAUGGAGAGGCAGACGGACCCAGCUGAGCUCAGUGUUCCAGCCAUCCCCACGAAAGCACCAGGAACCUGAGUGAAACCAUCUCGAUCCUCCAGCAUAGCACAAUCAGCAGCUGAAGAUCACUGAGUGACUCUAGUCGGCGCUCCAUGGAUCACUGAAGGAUCACCCAGCUGAGCCCUGCGCAAAUUUCUGACUCACAAAACUGUAGACGAUACAAUGGUUGUUGUUUGGGGGCAGUUUGUUAUGCUGUAGCAAUAAAUAGCCAGAAGAGACCAAGAGGCAGAAGUUGUUUGCUGAAAAUAAUGCAAAAAUUAUACCAGCCCUUGCCCAGCUACCUCCGGAUUUCUUGCUACAUGAAAAAAAAAAAAAAAAUCCCUAUUUGUUUAAGCCUCGUUGACACCUUGGGCUAUUGCUCAGUCCUCAGUUUUCCAUUUGUUAAAUGGAGCAUUAGCUCCUGUCUUACUACUUCCCAAAGGUGCCUGAGAGGGUAGAGUAAGAAUGAAGAAGAGAAGGCCUUUUUCAUGUAAUAUAAACAGUGCUUAUGUUCCCAAAGAUCAGCGAGUGACAUGCUCAAACAGUUAUAAUAUAUUUAAUGUGGUCAUAAUGGGAGUGAACUUGUCAUGAACCAAUUGCAAUGGAUUUUGGAAUCAGACACGUUAGGGCUUGAGGCUCUCAGCUCUGCUAGACAAACUUCUAACUUGACAAAUAGGCCAGUCAUUAAAUCUCUCCAAGCCUUAGUUCCCUCAUCAAUAAAGCACAGACGAUGUGAUUUCCCUCCGUUGAGUCUGUGUGAGGAUUAAAUUAAAUGAGAUUCAUCCAUCUAUUUGAUAAAUAUUGAAUAUCUCCUAGGGUCUAGGCCAAACACACUCUUGAUAUUGGUGGAGGCUGGUGUCCACUCACCCUUAAAUCUAAAUAUUUAAAAAUUAUAAAUCAGACCAAUACCUUCUCUUAAAUGUUCUAUCCUUCUCCUCAGUAAGUAUAACUUCUCAGCAGCCUGAAAGGCCAGGAUUGAUUUGGAUUUCUUAGAUACUCGCACUGAAAUGUGGCGGUGCUGGGGAGAGCCAGCCCCAUUCCCUGGUCGCUCAUUUCCCAGCCUAUAAACUGCCACCUUCCCUUCUCAUCCCCAGCUCCAUCCUGUACCGUGCACACCUCACCUGCAUGUGUGUAGACAUCCCAGGCUGCAGGUCCAAUCUCCAUCCACACCCUAUCCUCUGCAGUGCCCCUUGGCUACACCCUGGGCUUAGUGUUCUGCCUCCAGACAAUAGACCAGGAAGAGGCCUGGCAGCAGGCUUGGGACUUUUAGGUAGGGAGCUCAGGAAUCCUAGGAAUCUGUAGUAUUCUAGACAAGGAGCAAAGACUUGGAUGGGUAUAUCCCCUUGGCACUGCAGACUCUCUAGCCUGUGGGGAUGUACGCAGCUGGAGGCUGGCCAGGGCAGAGCCCCGCUUGCCUGGGUCCAAGGAUGGGCUGGUCAGCCUGUGCUAGGUGCUGCAGGUACAUGAGUAGAUGAAGCAGAUACCACCCCUGCUUCUCCUACUCAAAGGUGAAGACACAUCCCUGAAGUCAGGGCCUCAGUCUUAGCCCUAUCUAUAAGAUGAGGGCUUACCUGAUCUGACAUCAGGUAAUGUUGGAGACUUGGUGUACGUCCUCAGGAAUGUCCUAGAAGCCAGGAGGUCAGAUGAGGAGGGGCAAGCUUAAGGCCUAAGCAAUCAACUUCCUCCUUGAACCUAAGGCUGGCAAGGCAGGAAGGGCACCCACCCUCUGGUCCAACUCCAUCCACGCAACUCCUUCAGUGGCCAUAACAACACAACUUCCCAUCACACCUAGAAUAAAAGUCCAGCUCCUUGCCGAGACCUGCAAAGCCUGCUACCCCCAGCUGCUGACCAUCUCCAGUCUCCUUACUACUGCUCACUGAGUUCCAUCCUUAUGUUCAUGAAACCCCACAUCUACUCUCCCACCUCAAGGCCUUUGCCCUUGCUGUUUUCUCUGCUGGACACGCCCAGCUCUUUGCAUGGCUAGUUCCUCUCACUGUGCAGGCCUCAGCUUACUCUCUUGCACAGAGACGUCCAUUGACAUCCUUUUAGGAGCAGCUCCUGUCUAGCCCCAGCUCUCUCUUGGGCGUGUCACCACUUUACAUCCUUCCUAGUACAGCCAAAACUGGUGUAAUGGAGUGUGCAAAAGCUUCCACUUGGGGCUGGACUGGCUGGGUCGAAACCCAGGCUGGGCCCAAUAUUCUCAAGUGCCGAGCCUACCUACUGCGCACUUGAGGCUAUUGUUCAACCUGGUUCCCCACAUAUCGUGCAACCUGUUGUUUCUCCACCUAUCGUGCAACCUGUUUCUCCACAUAUUGUUCAACUUCCUAUUUCCCUUCAAUAGAUUAUUCAACCAGCAUUUUCCUAUCUGUACAAGGGAGUGAGGAUUACAUGACCUAAUGUGCAUAUAGCAUAGAGCAGAGCCUGGCAUAAGCGCUGCAUUGGUGUUUGCUACGAUAUUAACACUUGUUGCUAUUUGAAAUUAUUUUGUCUGUAUGUUUCUUGUUUAUUUCCCUCUUCUCUCUGACAGGCAAACUCCCCACAACAGCCUCCUCAACGCUGCCUCCCACAGUGCUUGGACAAAAUAAUUACAGCAAGAUGCGGGCACUGAGCUGACUCCUUAUGUAGGACAUCCCAGUGCAGGUAGAGAAACUGAGGGACAGUUGGAGGUUCCUUGCCCUUGGUGAUGCGGUGAGAGGGCCUGCAGGCACCAGCCCGGCCGCCCGCACCGCUUCUCGCGGACCCCAGCGGAGCCGCGCUUCUCGUGCCGCUCCUGAGGGUUUCCGCGGCGCCGGCGUUUUUGUUCCCGGCGCGUUUAAGUCGUUGAGGCCGAAUCAAGCGAAGGCGGAAAAGCGGCGCGCAGCCCGCGUCAGCUGCAGUUCCGUCCCCCUGGUUCCCGGUGCGCUAACAAAGGCAUUUGCAUGAAAACAGGAACCCCGUCUGCAGAAAGGACUCGUUGGCGGGGUGCAUCGUGCGCUCCAGUGCCCCUACCGCGGCGCCCCGCUCCCCAGGUGGGGAAGAAGCGGGGUGCGGGGACUGGCCCCAAACACGGCUCGGCCGGCGGGGACCGGCACGCUGCGGCCCGGGCGACCCCCUUCUCCGCCCCUUUCCCAGGCCGGCGGAAACGGCCGUCUCGGGCGUGGGCGCGCUUCUGCGGACUCCUCGGGACCUUUUACCCAGGCGUGCGGCCGGGGCGCCCGGGGCCUCGGGGAGCCGGCGCCAGCGUGCGGAGCGCAGCGGAGCGGAGGGAGCGGCGGGAGCGGCGUCCGUGGCUGGUCCAGGUCUGGGGCGCAGCCUCCAGGCUCGCCCUGCGCCGCUCUGGGCCUCGGCCUCUUCGCCUGUUCGACCGGGGCGCAAGCGUGUCACAGCGCCUGUCUGCAGGGGGAAGCGGGCUUCCCAGAGGGGCGCGUGGCUCGCAGAGGGGCUCCGGGAAUAUCCGCUCCGUUGGCCCUUUCCAGAGCUUUUCCUUAGCUGCUUCUCCUUUGAAAUCCGCCUUUUUCCCAGCAGCCCUUGGAGGCAGGAUAAAUUAAGUGGUAAAAGCAGAGGAUUAGGAACCGGGAACCCUGGAUUCAAAUCCUGCCCGCCGCUGACCAGCUUUGUAACCAUGAGCAGGUUACUCCGCCUCUGGAGGCCUCAGCUUCCCCGUCUGUAAAAUGGGGCCUAACACAGUCCAGAAAGUGCUUAGUGCCGCAGUGUCACACACCGAGUGCUUAAUUCAUUCUUAAAAUUAUCACUUCCAGCUGUGGGACAGGCGCAGGGUAGAAAGGGGUUUUCUUAAGGUCACAGGCGGGGUCAAAGGCAAACCCUCCGGGUCCUCACAAGUAAGACUUGCGAAGCAGCAAGUUCCCCAAAGGGUCUUAUCCAGCCGGGUAAGGAGCGCCGGGGCAUCUCCCCCCUCUCUCUCCGCGAAGACGCACAAGCAAUGGCUGGCGAACCUACUGCCUGGAAUGGGGUUCUUGGGUCGAGACCUUUAAAAAAAUAAAGAAGAGGAAGAAGAAAGAAAGAAAACAAACAAACAUGCACGCAAAAACGGAAUGCCAGAGCCUUUGAUCUAGGAGCCAGCUUGCUAUUCAGGGCCGACCACCGUCUCGCCGCAGUUCCUCCCCGGGAAGGAAGCCUCGCGCUGCCCUCCGGUGGCAGGCGAGGUAGUGUCGCCUGGGCGCAACUCACAAGCAGGGGUUUACCGGAGAAGCCAGCUUCGCUCUGCGCGGGUGGGGGCUGUGGGGGAGAGAGGAGGGAAAAUCGGAAUUGUUCCCUGACUGCUGUUUUUUGGUCCCGGUGGAUCUUGGGAGUCUUGGAAAGAGAAUAAUAAGGCUCUCUGCAUUUGAAAGGCAUAGGAGUUUUUACAUUCUGGUUUUAUUUAUUUUUGAAUGGAUAACACAUUUACACGAUUCAAAAGAUAAAAAAGAGGAUAGCGUGAAAAGGAAGUCUCGCUUCCACUCUUGUUCCCCAGGCACCCAGUUCCCCUUCCUAGAGACAGCCAUUGUUACAUGUUUCUGUGUACCCACCCGGAGACAGUCCAUGCAAAUGCAAGUAUUUUACAGGAUCAAUAGUAGCUUGCUCUGUAUACUCUUCUGCCUCUUGCUGCUUCGCUUAAAAAUGCAUCAUGGAGUUUGUUCCAUGUUGAUUCACAUAGGGCUGCCUCGUUCUUUUGAACAGCUGCAUAAUAUUCCAUUGUUUGGCUCUCCUGUAAUUAUUUGAUCAGUGUUCUAUUGAUGAGCCUUGAGGCUGCUUCUAAUCUUCUGUAAUCACAGUGUGUUACAACAAAUAAGCACCUACAUGCAUUGUUAUGCCUAGGUGCCAGUGAGGCACAUAGCUAUUGCGGUAUAACAAACCACUCCGAAAUUCAGUGGCUUUAAAUAGAAAGCUUUUGGUAUUGCUCAUGUGGGUCAGCUGGGUAGCACUGCUGAUCUGGGCCAAGCUCAGCUAACUUUGCAUUUGCUCCUUGUGUCUGGGAUCAGAAAGGGUGGGUCAGCUGGGGCUGGUUUAUUUAGGAUGGUCUAAAUCACAUGUCUGGUAGUUGACUGGCUAUCAGCUAGGGUUAGAGGGGUGUUCAGGCUAUGUGUCCGUCAACAUCUGAUAACAUGCAGUGCCUCCUGAGACUGUAUAACUGGUGUGAAUUUACAUCCAUUACAUUCUGUUGGUGCAAACAUGUCACAAGCCAGCCCAGAUUCAAGAGGUGGGGAAAUAGAAAUCACUUCUCCCAGGGAGGAGCAGCAAAGUCACACGGCAGAGUAUGAUGCAAGGGCCCUGAGGUAUUGUGGCCAUUUAAAAAUAUAUUUAUAAUGUUAUAGUUAGCAUUAUGGUGAUAACAUUACCUUUGGAUAUAAACAUUACCUUUGCCAUUACCUGACAGACGUUACCUCAAGCCUCAAGGCUCAUCAACAGAAGACUGAUCAAAUAAUUAACAACAAUAAUAAUUAACAACAACAAUAAUUUCAACAGAAGACUGAUCAAAUAAUUAACUAGGCCAUCAGGGUUGACAUUAAGUGAUAUUGAUAUUGAUAGCAUAUUCUCUUGAUAUAACUUUUUGAGAAUGACACUGUACCUCUGUGGUUUUCCUCCCCCAAACCAGUCUAAUAAUAACCCCAGUCUAAUAAUGAGAAUAGCCUCACAGAAUAGCCGCUAUGCACAGCCUCCACUUAAGGGAUGGGGAGUUAUGCUUCACUUCCUUGAGGGGGCAGUAUGUAAUAAGUUAUUUGGAAUUCUUCUGCUACUGGUUUAUUCAGUCAUUUAUUCUAUCCGUGUGCACUCAUGGAUAUUUAUUUUGUACUUUUCAUUAUAAUCCAAUACUAUGUUAUUUAUAUUGUUGCUUAAAUUGUUCCAGUUUUGGCGCCUGGGAGCUCUCUCUAUUGGCUCCUGUUUCCCUUUGCCAUAAUUUUUUGUUAUGUUUUUGAGCCCUUCCUUACUUUCUGGCACUAAAGCUGCUCCAGACUCAUCUUGCAUAUUUUCUUCCCAGCCCUAGAAUCAGCCGUUUCUCCAGGGAGCCCGGUUCCUUUCACUGGAGAAUGUUCUUAGAAACAGAUCUGGAUG